rnacentral:rRNA from 1 species
UACGAAGGGGGCUAGCGUUGCUCGGAAUCACUGGGCGUAAAGGGUGCGUAGGCGGGCCUUUAAGUCUGGGGUGAAAUCCUGGAGCUCAACUCCAGAACUGCCUUUGAUACUGAGGAUCUUGAGUUCGGGAGAGGUGAGUGGAACUGCGAGUGUAGAGGUGAAAUUCGUAGAUAUUCGCAAGAACACCAGUGGCGAAGGCGGCUCACUGGCCCGAUACUGACGCUGAGGCACGAAAGCGUGGGGAGCAAACAGG